CCUACGGGAGGCAGCAGUGAGGAAUAUUGGACAAUGGGCGCAAGCCUGAUCCAGCCAUGCCGCGUGCAGGAUGACGGUCCUAUGGAUUGUAAACUGCUUUUGUACAGGAAGAAACACUGGUUCGUGAACCAGCUUGACGGUACUGUAAGAAUAAGGAUCGGCUAACUCCGUGCCAGCAGCCGCGGUAAUACGGAGGAUCCAAGCGUUAUCCGGAAUCAUUGGGUUUAAAGGGUCCGUAGGCGGUUUAGUAAGUCAGUGGUGAAAGCCCAUCGCUCAACGGUGGAACGGCCAUUGAUACUGCUAAACUUGAAUUAUUAGGAAGUAACUAGAAUAUGUAGUGUAGCGGUGAAAUGCUUAGAGAUUACAUGGAAUACCAAUUGCGAAGGCAGGUUACUACUAAUGGAUUGACGCUGAUGGACGAAAGCGUGGGUAGCGAACAGGAUUAGAUACCCUUGUAGUC
rnacentral:rRNA from 2 species